rnacentral:rRNA from 1 species
GGGUUGUGAGGUUAAGCGACUAAGCGUACACGGUGGAUGCCCUGGCAGUCAGAGGCGAUGAAGGACGUGCUAAUCUGCGAUAAGCGCCGGUAAGGUGAUAUGAACCGUUAUAACCGGCGAUUUCCGAAUGGGGAAACCCAGUGUGACUCGUCACACUAUCAUUAACUGAAUCCAUAGGUUAAUGAGGCGAACCGGGGGAACUGAAACAUCUAAGUACCCCGAGGAAAAGAAAUCAACCGAGAUUCCCCCAGUAGCGGCGAGCGAACGGGGAGGAGCCCAGAGCCUGAAUCAGCAUGUGUGUUAGUGGAAGCGUCUGGAAAGGCGCGCGAUACAGGGUGACAGCCCCGUACACAAAAGCGCAUGUGCUGUGAGCUCGAUGAGUAGGGCGGGACACGUGGUAUCCUGUCUGAAUAUGGGGGGACCAUCCUCCAAGGCUAAAUACUCCUGACUGACCGAUAGUGAACCAGUACCGUGAGGGAAAGGCGAAAAGAACCCCGGCGAGGGGAGUGAAAAAGAACCUGAAACCGUGUACGUACAAGCAGUGGGAGCACCCUUUGGGGUGUGACUGCGUACCUUUUGUAUAAUGGGUCAGCGACUUAUAUUCUGUAGCAAGGUUAACCGUAUAGGGGAGCCGGAGGGAAACCGAGUCUUAACCGGGCGUUAAGUUGCAGGGUAUAGACCCGAAACCCGGUGAUCUAGCCAUGGGCAGGUUGAAGGUUGGGUAACACUAACUGGAGGACCGAACCGACUAAUGUUGAAAAAUUAGCGGAUGACCUGUGGCUGGGGGUGAAAGGCCAAUCAAACCGGGAGAUAGCUGGUUCUCCCCGAAAGCUAUUUAGGUAGCGCCUCGUGAAUUCAUCUCCGGGGGUAGAGCACUGUUUCGGCUAGGGGGCCAUCCCGGCUUACCAACCCGAUGCAAACUGCGAAUACCGGAGAAUGUUAUCACGGGAGACACACGGCGGGUGCUAACGUCCGUCGUGAAGAGGGAAACAACCCAGACCGCCAGCUAAGGUCCCAAAGUCAUGGUUAAGUGGGAAACGAUGUGGGAAGGCCCAGACAGCCAGGAUGUUGGCUUAGAAGCAGCCAUCAUUUAAAGAAAGCGUAAUAGCUCACUGGUCGAGUCGGCCUGCGCGGAAGAUGUAACGGGGCUAAACCAUGCACCGAAGCUGCGGCAGCGACACUCAGGUGUUGUUGGGUAGGGGAGCGUUCUGUAAGCCUGCGAAGGUGGCCUGUGAGGGUUGCUGGAGGUAUCAGAAGUGCGAAUGCUGACAUAAGUAACGAUAAAGCGGGUGAAAAGCCCGCUCGCCGGAAGACCAAGGGUUCCUGUCCAACGUUAAUCGGGGCAGGGUGAGUCGACCCCUAAGGCGAGGCCGAAAGGCGUAGUCGAUGGGAAACGGGUUAAUAUUCCCGUACUUGGUGUUACUGCGAAGGGGGGACGGAGAAGGCUAUGUUGGCCGGGCGACGGUUGUCCCGGUUUAAGCGUGUAGGUGUGUGUUCCAGGUAAAUCCGGUUCACUUUAACACUGAGGCGUGACGACGAGGCACUACGGUGCUGAAGCAACAAAUGCCCUGCUUCCAGGAAAAGCCUCUAAGCAUCAGGUAACAUCAAAUCGUACCCCAAACCGACACAGGUGGUCAGGUAGAGAAUACCAAGGCGCUUGAGAGAACUCGGGUGAAGGAACUAGGCAAAAUGGUGCCGUAACU